ACCUCCCCUUUAUCCUUUGUGACUCUUGCUCCUCCUUGGUUGCCUCCUUCACCCUCCUUUUCUCGGUUCACCGUUCACACUAUUGUUACAAGGUGGGAGGAUGCAUCAUAAUAAAUUAAAUUCAUAUUAAUUGAAAGAUAAUUAUUUAUUGUGUAUCAUUGACCACACGAUGGAGUGGUGCACCAUAGAAUUCAUCUCCAUUAAAACCACAUCAUUUUUUUUCCAUUUGAGAGUGGAUGAGAAAACAACGGUUGUUGACACUUGGCAGAACAAAACAAGAGUUAUCAGUUGUGUUAAUUCUAACAGUUCCAUGAACGAAGUCGAAACAGCACUUUUGUUGUGACAACUACCCUCAAUGGUUACUCUCCGUCCCUUCUUCUUCCUAUGUCCCAAGUCCUAUUCUUUUCCACCAAAACGCAAAUUCCCACUUCAAAAUUUUCCCAAUCAUCACAAGUUACUGCGUCAACGUUUCGGUUUUGCUGCUUUAAGCAACACUGCAUUGAGCUACGACGAAGGGGAUGCAAAUGGAAUCGAUUUCUUGCACCUCAUGGAAGAGCGUGGGGUUCGUGCGAAUUCCCAAACAUAUUUGUGGCUUUUAGAAGGGUGUCUGAAUUCUGGGUCGUUUUCUGAUGGGCGGAAGCUUCACGGGAAGAUUCUGAAGAUGGGUUUUUGUGCAGAAAUGUUUUUGUGUGAGCGUCUUAUGGAUUUGUACAUUGCCUUUGAUGACUUGGAUGGUGCAGUAAAGGUGUUUGAUGAAAUGCCUGUUAGACCCUUGUCUUGUUGGAACAAGGUUUUGUAUAGGUUUGUUGCUGGGAAGUUGACGGGUCAUGUUCUGGGUUUGUUUAGGCGAAUGGUGAGGGAAAAGGUGAAGCCUGAUGAGAGGACUUUUGCCGGGGUUUUGAGGGGGUGUGGUGGUGGUGAUGUUCUUUUUCACUGUGUGGAGCAGAUACACGCAUGGGCUAUAACUUAUGGUUAUGAGAAUAGUUUAUUGGUAUGUAAUCCUCUGAUUGAUUUAUACUUAAAAAAUGGGCUUUUGAAUUCGGCUAAGAAGCUUUUUGACAGUUUACAAGAGAGGGAUAGUGUUUCUUGGGUAGCUAUGAUAUCCGGUUUAUCGCAAAAUGGGUGUGAAGAAGAGGCGGUUCUUCUGUUUUGCCAGAUGCACACAUCGGGAAUCUGUCCUACCCCUUACAUAUUUUCGAGUGCUCUAAGCGCCUGUACAAAAAUAGAGCUUUUUAAGCUUGGAGAGCAGCUCCAUGGCCUUGUUCUGAAGCAGGGGUUCUCUUCUGAAACCUAUGUUUGCAAUGCGCUAGUGACAUUAUAUUCCCGUAUGGGGAAUUUGUUAUCUGCUGAGCAGGUUUUUAAUUCAAUUUCACAGAGGGAUGGAGUUUCAUAUAACUCGCUCAUCUCAGGUCUAGCUCAACAAGGAUAUAGUGAUAGAGCUUUAGAAUUGUUUAAGAAAAUGCGUCUUGAUUGCUUAAAGCCUGAUUGUAUUACAGUUGCAAGUCUUUUGAGUGCCUGUGCAUCAGUUGGGGCUCUUUUGGUAGGAAGGCAAUUCCAUUCGUAUGCUAUAAAGGCUGGGAUGUCUGGGGAUAUUAUCUUGGAAGGUUCAUUGCUUGAUCUUUAUGUAAAAUGCUCAGAUAUAAAAACAGCGCAUGAAUUUUUCCUUUCAACCGAAACUGAAAAUGUGGUGUUGUGGAAUGUGAUGCUCGUGGCUUAUGGCCAGUUAGACGAUCUAGAUGAAUCAUUAAAAAUAUUUACUCAGAUGCAGAUGGAAGGCAUUGUACCAAAUCAAUUCACCUAUCCAAGUAUUUUGAGAACUUGCUCUUCUUUGAGGGCUCUUGAUCUAGGAGAACAAAUUCAUACUCAAGUCCUAAAAACUGGCUUUCAGUUCAAUGUGUAUGUCUCUAGUGUGCUUAUUGACAUGUAUGCCAAACAUGGAAAAUUGGAUACAGCUAUGAAAAUCCUUAGAAGACUAAAAGAAAAAGAUGUUGUUUCUUGGACAGCCAUGAUUGCUGGGUACGCACAGCAUGAAAAAUUUGCUGAAGCUCUUAACCUCUUUGAAGAAAUGCAGGAUCAAGGGAUACAAUCUGAUAAUAUAGGAUUUGCAAGUGCAAUUAGUGCUUGUGCAGGUAUCCAAGCACUUAAUCAAGGGCGUCAAAUUCAUGCUCAGGCAUGUGUCUCUGGUUAUUCAGAUGAUCUUUCAGUUGGUAAUGCACUUGUUAGUCUUUAUGCUAGGGGUGGGAAAGUACGAGAAGCAUACUUUGCUUUUGAUAAAAUAUUUGCUAAAGAUAAUAUAUCAUGGAACUCAUUGAUAUCUGGUUUUGCACAAAGUGGACAUUGUGAGGAAGCACUGAGUCUAUUUUCUCAAAUGAAUAAAGCUGGACUAGAAAUCAAUUCAUUCACAUUUGGCUCUGCAGUUAGUGCUGCUUCAAAUGUUGCUAAUGUUAAACAAGGGAAGCAGAUUCACGCAAUGAUUAUAAAAACUGGCUAUGAUUCAGAAACUGAAGUUUCUAAUGUGUUGAUCACACUAUAUGCAAAAUGUGGUAGCAUUGAUGAUGCUAAGAGACAGUUUUCUGAAAUGCCUGAGAAAAAUGAGGUUUCUUGGAAUGCUAUGCUGACUGGUUAUUCUCAACAUGGUCAUGGAUUUGAAGCAUUAAGCCUUUUUGAGGAGAUGAAGCAGCUUGAUAUAUUGCCAAAUCAUGUCACCUUCGUGGGAGUUUUAUCAGCAUGUAGCCAUGUGGGGUUGGUUGAUGAGGGAAUUAGCUAUUUUCAAUCAAUGAGUGAAGUUCAUGGUUUGGUUCCAAAACCUGAGCAUUAUGCAUGUGUUGUGGAUCUUCUCGGGCGGUCUGGUCUUUUAAGCCGUGCAAGGAGAUUUGUUGAGGAGAUGCCAAUUGAACCAGAUGCAAUGGUCUGGAGGACACUUUUAAGUGCUUGUAUUGUUCAUAAGAAUAUUGAUAUUGGAGAGUUUGCUGCAAGUCAUCUUCUGGAACUGGAACCCAAAGAUUCAGCAACUUAUGUUCUGCUUUCAAAUAUGUAUGCAGUGACUGGGAAAUGGGGUUGUAGGGAUCGGACAAGGCAAAUGAUGAAAGAUAGAGGUGUUAAAAAAGAGCCUGGUCGUAGCUGGAUUGAUGUUAAUAAUUCAGUUCAUGCAUUUUUUGCUGGUGAUCAGAAACACCCUUGUGUGGAUAAGAUAUAUGAAUAUCUCAGCAAUCUGAAUGAACGGGCAGCUGAAAAUGGUUAUGUACCACAGUCCAAUAGCCUUUUGAAUGAUGUAGAAAGGCGUCAGAAGGGUCCAACACAAAUAAUUCACAGUGAGAAACUGGCAAUUACUUUUGGAUUGCUUAGUUUGUCUAGCUCUACUCCUAUCCAUGUUUUUAAAAAUCUUCGUGUUUGUCGUGAUUGCCACAACUGGAUUAAGCAUGUAUCUAAGAUUUCAGAUCGAGUGAUUGUAGUGAGAGAUUCAUAUCGCUUUCAUCAUUUUAAGGGUGGUAUUUGUUCCUGUAAAGAUUACUGGUAAGAUGGCAGAAGGUUCACUAAAAUGGAAGAACUCUCCUAUGGCCUAGACUUAUGGGAUGGACCAGAAUUUAUGGCAAAUGUUGCUGAAAAUUUUUCAUUGGUCACCUAUGUCAUUCGUAAGAAAGUGACUUGAAACUUGAUGCUUAUACAGUGUUCUUCAAUUUAUGUGUACAUAGCAUGUAUUGUCCUAUAUCUUUUCUUCAUCUGAAUCAGGUGAACAAUAAAACUGAAGCAUUUCGUGAGAUUUCUCUGCAUGCCGCCUUUUUGACCCAUAUAUCAUGCUUAAAAGCUUUUGGUGACAUUUGGUUUGACCCACAAAGCUGAUUUGGAUAUAUCUUCCACGGAUAUCAAUACUGAGGAUCUUAUAAAUAGGCUUGGAGGUGACUGCUUGUGCCAAAUGCAACUCAAAGGAAGGUCACAAAUUGUAGAGAAAUGAGGUUGAUUAAGGUCUCCAAGGUACUGCCUUCUAACUAACUAUAACAAUAUGCUUCAUUAUGUUUAUUUAUUUAUUUUUAGGUAUAAUAAAUACAUCCCUCAAUCAAUAGUUAGAGAUUAAUUCUUUUCGAGACAUAAGAGAAUAAUAUCAAAUUUGGUUGUGAACCAAAGUCACCAUUCAUAUCAUUUCUGUGUUCUUGAUUUGAUCCUGCUAUUCAUGUCCUCAUUAAUUAAGGCUUUUUAGCUUCCAAGAAAGUGUUGCCAAUGUUAAAAUUCUAAACUUUAAUUUCCUUUACCAUUUAAAACAUGCUACCUAUUUCAAGAGAUGUUUUAACUUUUUGUGAUAAUUUUUCCGUUAUGACUACUAAGGUUCUUGUUGUUAGUCACGUUCCAAAGGACUAUGAUAUACUUGCUAUGCCUUUUAAUUAGUGCCGCGCUAAAAUUGCCGACAGUAAAAGGUGAACACCUGAAGAUUGGUGUCAGUAUCUGUCAAGAUCAUCUUCAGAACCAUGAAUUAAUCCUUGGUGGAGGUUUCUCUCUUGUAUGUGUGUAACUGUUACACACAUUGUCCUUGUUCAUGUAAAAAAAUGAGAAAAAUAUGUUUAUUCCUUAUAAAUAUGGUUAAUUUUAAUUUUUCAAUUUAUUUUGUUAGUUAUCGUCUUUAUAUGUUUUUUUUAAAUGAUCCUUAUCACUAUUCAUUAAUGAUGUUA